GUAAGAGCUGUUGUUCUUGAUCAUUGAUUCUGUGCCUGACAUGUGUGUGUUACUGCAUUUGUUUCAACAACCUCAUAUAUAAAGGUUCAGAAUUCUUAGCCUUCUUGAGCAGAUGAACUACAGCAAUUCCUCCUCCCCUGAAAGUUCUACAUUUUGAGGUGCACUCAGCGCAGAAUUGCAGUGGGACACAGAUGUGAAAGGUUGGUUGAAUCCAUGGAUGAGGAGCCCAUGUAUACAUGGCCCCGAUUGUAUAUGUUGAGGCAAGAUGACUG